rnacentral:pre_miRNA from 1 species
GCCGGGAAGAGGAAGACAGAGAGUCUCUAAGAGCAGUAGGAAAGGAACAUGGAGGAAAACCCGGAACUCGAUUUUCUCCUCCAGUACUGGAGGUAGAAAUUUGUUUCGUGUUUUCCCAAUGCCUCCUAUUCCUAUUGAUCUUAGGUACUCCUUCCUCUUCCUUUGGCUU